rfam:Triticum urartu cultivar G1812 contig995598, whole genome shotgun sequence.
AGAAUACUCCCUCCGUUCCAAAUUACUCGUCGCAGAAAUGGAUGUAUCUAGAACUAAAAUACAUCUAGAUACAUCCAUACUUGCGACAAGUAAUUCAGAACGGAGGGAGUAUAAC